AUUGAACGCUGGCGGCAGGCCUAACACAUGCAAGUCGAGCGGGGUUUUCGGACCUAGCGGCGGACGGGUGAGUAAUGCGUAGGAAGCUGCCCGAUAGAGGGGGAUACCAGUUGGAAACGACUGUUAAUACCGCAUAAUAUCUACGGACCAAAGUGUGGGACCUUCGGGCCACAUGCUAUCGGAUGCGCCUACGUGGGAUUAGCUAGUUGGUGAGGUAAUGGCUCACCAAGGCGACGAUCUCUAGCUGGUUUGAGAGUAUGAUCAGCCACACUGGAACAGAGACACGGUCCAGGCUCACACGUGAGGCAGCGGUGGGGAAUAUAGGACAAUGGGCGCAAGCCUGAUCCAGCCAUGCCGCGUGUGUGAAGAAGGCCUUCGGGUUGUAAAGCACUUUCAGCGAGGAGGAAGGGUGGUGUGUUAAUAGCACAUCAUUUUGACGUUACUCGCAGAAGAAGCACCGGCUAACUCUGGUCCAGCAGCCGCCGUAACAC
rnacentral:rRNA from 1 species